GGACUAUCUCGUAACCCAUCUGUGAAGCAGGGAGAAGUCCAAGCUUCCUCAUGAAGAGGAUCACAUCAAGGUAGCCAAUUGAUAGUUUCUGGAUUUUCUCCUUGUAAGAACCAUCUACUCAAAUGGAAGCAAAAGGGGAGGGAAUGGGAGAAAAAAAACCAUAAAACUAAGCAUAUAAACAAAGGAGACUCUUUUAGCUCAGAAGAGAUGACAUUAUCUUUUAAUUGACAACUUUAAAUUCUUGACAUUAUCUGAGGAGAGAACUCUAAUUAGAAGACAGCAGCAAGAGAACAUAAGGAGAUUUACUUUUAUUGAACAUCUGAUUUAUGCUGAUGAAAAUAUACUUGCUGCACAUACUCCCUCAGUCUCAUUUAUCUCCUAAUAUUCACCUCAUCCUUUAAUUUAUUCAUUUACUUAACAAAGAGUUAACACAUGCUUAUCUUGUGGCUGCAACAUAGUAACCUGGAGAUUGUCAGUGGGGCCUGGGACAAAGGGACCAGAGACGAAGUCUCACUCUGUCACCCAGGCUGCAGUGCAGUGGCACGAUCUCGGCUCACUACAACCUCCACCUCCCAGGUUUAAGCGAUUCUCCUGCCUCACCCUCCUGAGUAGCUGGGAUUACAGAGUGAAGCCAAAGGCACAGGAAGCACAGCUGGAAUGGGGACAUAGGAACGCGGGGGCUCCCAUGAGUUGACCGGACAACUGAGAGAUGGCAACCUAGACCUGGGGAGCUGACAUAAAAAACACUCAAGAGAACUGAGUCUGGAAAAUGUGAGAAGAAAGUUAAUUUUGGCAAAUUUCUGAGAAAUGAAAAGACGUAUCAACAAGAAAUUUCAUUUCUAAGAGGACAAAAUAUGCUAUGUUUUCGUGAAUCCAUGAUUCGACCUGAAGAAGAAGGAAAGAACUGGACAUCCAGAUGAGUACAUUGAUAUCGAAGAAAAAAAGAGGAGGGAGCACACAGGUGAGCAGGUGCAGGAACCAGCCGGACAAUUUGCCGCCAGCAGGAAUGAACUCCAAGC
rnacentral:lncRNA from 1 species